UACGAGGGGGGCAAAUGUUGUUCGGAAUCACUGGGCGUAAAGGGAGCGUAGGCGGGUUUCUAAGUCAGGUGUUUAAUCCCGGGGCCCAACCCCGGACAGGCACUUGAAACUGGGAAUCUUGAAUAGUGGAGAGGUCAGUGGAAUUGGGGUGUAGCGGUGGAAUGCGUAGAGAUCCCCAAGAACACCAGUUGCGAAGGCGGCUGACUGGACACAUAUUGACGCUGAGGCUCGAAAGCAUGGGAGCAAACAGGG
rnacentral:rRNA from 1 species